AGAUGUUCACAAACAAUGAGGUGUUGAGCAAGAUUGAGCCGGAUAUGCUCGCCAGUGCCGAGUACAUACAAGGAGAUGGCACUCCAGGGAGCCUGAGGCUCUUCAAACUUGGACCUGGUAAAAGCAGAUGCCAUGCUCUUUUAGCAAAUAAGCUCUGAAACUUUCAUUGUGAUAGAUACCUUGAACACUUUGUGGAUCCUAAACACAAAAGCUUUAAUUUAAAAAUCUUCCUUCUGCUGCAAAUAGAAAUGAUUUUCCAAGUAACUCUAGUGCACCGAAGAAGUACUCUUUAUAAAGCUUUAAAUGCACAUACUUGUGAAACUUCUCUACUCUCUAAAAACAACUAGGUGAUUGACAAACAGAACUUUUCUUUCUUGAGCUUUUUCUUUGGCAAGGAGCUAAUAAAUAAGCUACUAAGGACACAAAGUGAGAACUUGAAAUUUUGAUACUUACGAAUAGUAGAGAGCUGAGCUUUUAAUCAUUCUCUAAUUAUCAGAACUCUAGCUAAAGCCAAAUAGACUCCAGUUCUCCACUCAAAUGUGUUGAGAUCAUUUUGUCAUAGGUAAAAUACUUGGCGAAUUUCCUUUCAUUAGAACAAAUCUUCACGCGAAAAAGUACUAGAAACUGUUCUCUACAUAGCUUAAAGUUGUGGAAAACAACCUUAGUUUCAUGCUUUGGGCAUAUAGAAAACCCUGUCCACUGAUGCUUGAAGUUUUUAUAGAGAAACUAAAUGAUUCUUUUAUGAUUUACCUCGCAUAAAAACGAAGAGAGCUAACAUGAUUGCUCGACGGACGCAGCACUGCAUGGUUACGUGAAGGAAUCGAUGCAGAGGAUAGAGAAGGUGGAACCUGGGCGGUGCAUGUCGUACCGUGUGGUCGGCGGCGAGCUGAGGGGCAUGUACGACCCGUACCGCGUAACCUUCUCCUUCC
rnacentral:lncRNA from 1 species